GAUGAACGCUGGCGGCGUGCUUAACACAUGCAAGUCGAGCGAGAAGUUUUGACUAUAUUCUUCGGAUGAAAUUUAAAAUGGAAAGCUGCGGACGGGUUAAUAACGCGUAGGCAACCUGCCCCAUACAAAGGAAUAGCAUUUGUAAACGAAUAUUACUACCUUAUCAUACUUAACUAGUGCAUGCUAGGUAGGUCAAAGAUUUAUCGGUGUGGGAUGGGCCUGCGUCUGAUUAGCUAGUUGGUGAGGUAACGGCUAACCAAGGCGACGAUCAGUAGCCGACGUGAGAGGCUGAACGGCCAGGUUGGAACUGAGACACGGGCCACACUCCGACGGGAGGAAGGAGUGAGGAAGAAUGCACAAUGGGGGAAAGACUGAUGCAGCCACGCUGCGGGAACGAUGCAGGCCGUUGGGUAGCCAAGUUCUGUUGUAGGUGAUGAAAACUGACAGUAACCUAGGAGAAAGCACCGGCUAACUACGUG
rnacentral:rRNA from 1 species